ACAAUAGUGGAUGCUGACUCACAAGAACUUCAGCAUUUAUAUUUUUUCCUAAGGAGGAGCUCAAGAUUUAUGAUCGUCUUACUAGCAGAACUACUCUUCCUCCCCAGUAAAGCUUCAAGAAUGAAAUGAAGGGCAUAUUGUGAAUAAGUCCAGCUCAGGCUGAAGGUAUGAGUCAGAGAUAUAGAGGACAGCAGGGAGGAGAGGAAAUGCUGUUCUAACCAUCAAAAGGCAGAAGUUCAAACAGCUGGCUCUACUCCAAGGUAGUAAGUAGAAGAGGCACCAACAGGAAAUGAAGAUGUUGACUGAAAUAGCCCAUUCUUUGUAUAAUCUUUACUGAAAAAAAAACCUAUUAUAAAAUUUUAUUCUCAUUUUUAAUAGUUUAAAGGUAAUUUUGAGUUCUUGGUUAUUUUAUGUCAUUCAUAAAUAACAAGAAUUGCUAAUUAAACUUCACUAGUUGCUAUGGCUUAACUUCAUUUUUCUAAAUUGUCCUGAGAAUGAAUGUUUUCUCUUUGUAUUACGAUCUCAGUGAACACACAGUUUGCAUUUAAAUCGAUGGCAGAGGGUAGUAAGGUAGCACUGCAUAGGAAACGUUAGUCAUCAGCAACUUUUUCCAAACCAUGAAAUGGAUUAACUUCUCUGUGAUUCUAUUAAUAGUGAAUUUGCACAGCUGAAAGUAAUGCUGCUCAGCAAGUUACUAGACUUUAAACUAAUUACAAUUCUUUGGCACCGAGCAGUGGAGUCCUGUAGAAAGUAAUUUAAGAUACCUCCAUACUAAAUGGAAUAGUGUAAUUUGUAAAGCUGUAAAAGGGUUGCAGUUGUGAAAAUCAAAUCAUAAAAUCUGGAAUAUAUCUAUAACAUUUAGCUUUCAGCUACAAACCUGAAGAAAAUUCUAUAUGUGAUCCUGAAAAAACGUUAUUUAGAAACAGGAUUCUUGCAAGAAGGAAUAAUAUCUAAUAUACAGGAUCGAUUUCUACAAUUUUUCCUUCCUUUUCCAUCCUUAAAUUGCUGUUUUUCUAACAGAAACUUUUUGAUAACUGUCAUAUAUUUUCUGGGUGUCUGUAAUACUAUUAUUAGUCAAUGCAGUUAAAUAUUUCAGCUUACCUUUAGUGGCAUCCAUACCUCCUACAGCAUAAAGUGCACCCACUGUAGACUUCCUAGGCUUUGUUCGAGGGCUCUGCAUCAUGGACCGUCUUUCUGGUAGGAGAUGGUACUUCAUAGCCUCCAUGAGAAGUUUCUGGCAUUCUAGGUCGUCUGCAAACAUUGGACUAUUUUCUAGAUCGGCUAGUAACUAAGAAAUGAAAAGUGAUGAUCUUAUGUGUAUCUAAAUCAUUAAAAGUUGGAUGUACUUCAGUAAGUAAAGUCUGUGUAGCUAUAAAGAUAGGUGAAAGUGCUAUCUGGGAAAGAAAUGUUGUAUUUUUGAGAUACCAUGAGACUGAUAUGUUUAUAAAGGUAAUUGUGAGCACAGUAAUUACAUUUACUUUUUUCUUCUAUCUUUACAAGUAAUAAUCAUACCUAUUAUGGAGUUAACAAAAAUAAAAAAAAUAAUAAGAAAAAAUUCCACAUCA
rnacentral:lncRNA from 7 species